UGCAGCGAUGAGUAAGACAGAUGCUGUCCCUGCCCCGGGAGCUCGUAGGCUAGUCGACACAGAGAAAAUCUGAGCCAAGAGCUUCCCAAAAGAGGGGGAGGCAGGAGGCACCCACAAAUAACCAAAGCAGAAGGAAGAGAGGAACAAAGGACACGGGGGGCUUCAGAGGGAGAUGGACGUGAGUCGUGGGUCCAAAUCUAGAGAGGUAUCUUACCGUGUAGGUCUCGGCUUCCUCAUCUGCGAAAUGGAGAUGCCUGCUCAUCCUGGCCACCAGUAAAAGACAGCUCCGAAAUUCCGGAAGAGGAAUACAAAGCGGGGGUGGGAUUCCAGGCAGGACCGAUGCACUCCAGCUGGGGGAAUCGCGGGAGUCUUUCUCCAGGAGGUCACGAGGCGUCAGAGACUGGAGUCAGAGCCUGGUGCGUUGGCCAGGUGCUCAGUCCUUAAACAGAAAUCUCAACUUGCCAAGGAGUCCGAGAAUGGAGAAGAAAAAAGAAAAAAAGAAAGGCAAAAGCAAUUUUCAACCAGGAAUAGGUGACUCUCAGGGGUCUUUUGGCCAACAGGGACAGGGAGUGUCCCGGGUGGUGUUUGGUCUUGGGAUGAGAAACUCGGGGAGCAGAGCUGAACCCGGCCCGCAGCUGAGCCUGAAGCCGAGACCCAACCCUACUGAGUUGUAACUGGUCCACAGACCCGGAGUCCCGUAUAGAUGAACCGUCAGAGGCCAGGAGCUACAACUUUGGCACCUCUUGAAGAUGCUGUGUGUCCCGUCUGGUCAUCCUUGUCUCUCACCCACCAUCCUGACAUUUAUGGUAAUAAUUUCCAGCCUUUUGCUUAAUGUAUCAUUAUCGGCAUGUCCAUCCCUAAAC
rnacentral:lncRNA from 1 species